AGGACGAACGCUGGCGGCGUGCUUAACACAUGCAAGUCGAGCGGUGACCCUCCUUCGGGAGGUGAUCAGCGGCGAACGGGUGAGUAACACGUGGGCAACCUGCCCCUCACACUGGGAUAACCUCAGGAAACCGGGGCUAAUACCGGAUACGACCUCGAGCGGCAUCUCUUGAGGUGGAAAGCUCCGACGGUGAGGGAUGGGCCCGCGGCCUAUCAGCUUGUUGGUGGGGUAAUGGCCUACCAAGGCGACGACGGGUA
rnacentral:rRNA from 1 species